AAAAGCACCUUGGAGGUGGUGGUUCGGGACUGAAGUCUGCCCCGUGGCAAACCCGCGUGUGGAGAAUGCCUUUACCUUCCCGAAGCCUUGAUUUCCUCCAGGCGCUUGCUCGGGUCCGUGUGGCCAGGGACAGCAGCCCCGUCUGGCUGCCCAAGCCUCUCCGUGUCCGGGGCAGGUAAAAGAGAAACCAGCCAGCAGCUCUUGGGAAGCCGUGUCAAAGGGCUUUGGAUAGAUCGGUUCUUCAGUGAGAGUCUCUGUGUGACCAUGUGAGCAGCUGCGUUGGUACAGCAGAGAGAGCUGCCCCAGGAGGACCCUCUUGAGUCCCAGUCCAGAUGCAAUGCAAACACCUUUGGCUCUAGCUUGGGUACCUGAUUACAAAGGAAGAUCCAGCUCCUGAAGGUUUAGGCAAACCUCUUUAUUUCAGGAAACUAUAAUGACCUGCCUUCCUGCCCUACUAGUGAUUAUCACAGCUGGAAUCUGAAACCCUUCAGCACCAGCACGGUUUAUUUUAGUAUUCCUAAAGCUUGUCUUGCAAGCCCACUGCUUCAUGGACUGUAUUCUCCUUGGUGAACCCAAGCUCAUCAUUCUCUUUUCUGGACCACUUGGGAAGGCACUUAUCAGUUACAGCUUUGUUGUGACAAGUGACUGUGUAACUACAAACCCUGAGCUAGAUGUGAGGAAGCUCAGCAGGGUUCCCGGUGUGUCAGAGCUCUGCUGAUGCAAACAGCGACUCUGCUGACUUGAAGAGAUGAAGCAACAGUAAUGAAUCUCAUCCGGACAAAAUCCCCAUGGACACUACUAGUCUCUUGAACCCUGUCUUGACACUGCUCAAAUGUGGCAACAUCUGAAAGCUUUUGCCAGGAGGUCUGUUUUGCUGAAGAGGAUCAUCUUGGGCUCCACAGGAGGUUUAAUAAAGUACAAGCCCUUUAGUUGCACCAGUGUUUUUUUCUGCAGUACUUCAGUGCCAGUACAUACUUGUCUGUGAUGUAAUUUUUUUCCAUUAAUAAAUCCACAGACCCUGCUGGAUA